ACCUGGCCCUGGGGCGGAGCCUGCGGUCGGGUCUCGGCGACCCGCCGGGACUUUCUAAUCAGAGUCGUGGGGAUUUUACGGGUGGAGUUACUCCGAAACCUUUAAGGCCGAGUGUGAUAGGUAGUUCAAAGCUUCCUGUUUCUUCAGUCUGACAGCUUCAAAUGUCCCGGGUUGUGCUCAAAGCCUCCCUCUUGUGAGAAGAAUCUCUUUGGUUGCCUGUUAAAGCGGUCAGCCAGCUUGCAACACGGAAGCAGCUUUUAGAGGAAUUAAAACCAAAACAAGGAGCAAAUUCUGGAUUAAAAAGAUAUUUGCAACCAUUCUUCCAAUCAAUUUUAGAAAAUUUCCACCACCUCAAAAAGAAAUCCUGAUGAAGAAACAUCCUGAGAAGGUUGACAUGCUGAAUGCCUUAAAGAACUUCAAUUGGGAUGCCAGAUGAAAGUGUAACUAGAAUUUCUAUGGCUUAAAUAACGAGAGCUGGAGUGCAGUAGCAUGAUCAUGGCUCACUGCUGCCUCGACCUCCCGGGCUCAGAGAUUCUCUUGCCUCAGCCUCCUGAGUAGCUGGGACCACAGAGUUUCACUCUUGUUGCCCAGGCUGGAGUACAAUGGCAUGAUCUCGGCUCACUGAAACCUCUGCCUCCUGGGUUCAUUCAAGCGAUUCUCCUGCCUCAGCCUCCUGAGUAGCUGGGAUUACAGGCAUGCACCACCACGCCCGGCUAAUUUUGUAUUUUUAGUGGAGAUGGGGUUUCUCUAUGUUGGUGAGGCUAGUCUCGAACUCCUGACCUCAGGUGAUCCACCUGCCUUGGCCUCCCAAAGUGCUGGGAUUACAGGCAUGGGCUACUGCGCCUGGCCUGUAUCUCCAAUUCUUUACAUAUGCCUGACGAACUGCUAUUCCAUCUUGUAGGGCUAAAAUCAAAUUUUUUUUCAUUUUUGGGAAGCCUCCUCUACAUACCUCCACCUUCUAACUCCAAGAAGUCAAAAUGAAGUCUCACCAUAUUGAUCAGACUGGUCUUGAAGUCCUGGCUUCAAAUGAUCUUCCCUCCUCAGCCUCCCAAACUGCUGGGAUUAUAGAUCUUGCAGACAACAGAUCAUGGAACUUCUUGGCCUCCAUAAUCUCAUGAGCCAAUUUCUAUAUUCCAUAGGGGAAAGAAGGAGAGCUGAGAAUGCACAGAAAUUUUCAUGUGCCAAGUUUGGAAGUGCAAAAAGACCUUUAGGUGCGGGCCCUCUGUCUUGGACUUCUCAACCUCCAGAACAAUGGUGUCAGAAGCAGGAUCCCAAGCAGAGCUUCUAGUGACCUCCAGGAGCGCUGAGUGAACACUCGAGGUACCAGCACUCGAGGACCCACUUGUGUCCAUGGAUCUCUCAGAGCGGCUCCGGAUGGUAAAAAGCAAUUUGAAGGGGUGUUCUAUACUUUGGCAGAGGAAACCCAUUCCCUCUCAAGGAGAAGCAGUGGACACAGUCUCCGAAGUUGAGAGCCAUUUGAGAAUCAGUUGAGAAGUUUGAGAACCAGGUAUGUGGGGCUUUGGUAUCAGGAUGAUGCUGGCCUCAUAAAAUGAGUUCAGGAGGAUUCCCUCUUUUUCUAUUGAUUGGAAUAGUUUCAGAAGGAAUGGUACCAGCUCCUCCUUGUACCUCUGGUAGAAUUUGGCUGUGAAUCCAUCUGGUCCUGGACUUUUUUUGGUUGGGGGUCCUGAAACCAAUCCUUCGUGGAUACCCAGGGACAAUUCUAUCUGGCUGGAUUCUGGGAAGUGAACUUAUGGAAUCAAAGGUUAUGCAAACAUUUUUGAGACUUAGACUGGCUCUCCUUGCUCCUCAAGCUUGUAGACAGCCUAUUGUGGGACCUUGUGAUCAUACUUGAAACACUUGUACAUCAGCUCAGAGUGUGCAUUGUCCACUGCAAAUACUAGUGCAAAUUAAGAAGAAGAGAAAAAAGAAGGUCCACGAGCUACCAAUGACAUCUAGGACUGCUUCUGUCUCAUAGCACAUACUCCUCCCACAAGGACUACAAAUGACAAGAGAAAAUUUGUAUAAUUGGAAUUCUGGACAUUUCUCAAAUGCUCAUUGACUCAAAUACUUUCUGCUGUAUUUGGAAUUUUCAAACCAAAACAUGAUAGCAACCAGACCAGAAAAAUGUAAUUGACCAGAAAUGUCCUACAAUAUUUACAAUAUACUCAUUUUUCUGCAUGUUCAAUUUUAAAAGUUGGGUAUUCUGUACUGGAAUCUAAUGGGAUUUGACUAAUAAUCCUCACAAAAAUGAUGCCAGGAUGUUCUUCAGCUUUUGAUAGACUUUAAAAUACACAGGCAGCAUAAUCUUGAGCAAGAAAAGAGCUGACUUUCUGUACAGGAGAAAUAAAGAAUAGUGUAGCACUUGACAACC
rnacentral:lncRNA from 1 species